rnacentral:lncRNA from 1 species
UCUAUGGGAAAACAUUUGGUUGUGUGUAACCUGUAGGUGACAGCACAGCCAAGCCCUAAUCGAAGAUUGCGAAUUGACUUUACCGGACUCUGGCAGUUGACGCUAUGAACAGCACUGUGAGCUCUACUUGGAAGUUACGAGCAAAGGUGGUAUCGCGAGCUUUCUGCAUCCCUGAAUGGGAUGGUGGAGGUCAUAUCGGCACUCAUGCACAGGACACGGAAACUCUCACUUCCAAUGGGACAUUUUGAGAGGCCUAUCUGAAGUCCAGUAUUGGCAGUGGAAGAUCGACGUC